CAGUCGCCGCGGUAAUACGGAGGAUCCAAGCGUUAUCCGGAAUCAUUGGGUUUAAAGGGUCCGUAGGCGGUCUUGUAAGUCAGUGGUGAAAGCCCAUCGCUCAACGGUGGAACGGCCAUUGAUACUGCAGGACUUGAAUUAUUGGGAAGUAACUAGAAUAUGUAGUGUAGCGGUGAAAUGCUUAGAGAUUACAUGGAAUACCAAUUGCGAAGGCAGGUUACUACCAAUUGAUUGACGCUGAUGGACGAAAGCGUGGGUAGCGAACAGGAUUAGAUACCCCCGUAGUCCCUGUCUCUUAUAC
rnacentral:rRNA from 1 species